AAAAAAAUAAUAAUAAAAACAAUAUUUAGACUUCUCAAAAGCACAUAAGCUAAAUGAUGGAAAGUCCAAGUAUAAAAGUCCAAACUCCAGCUAAACGCGUUUCACUCUUGUAUGAGCUUCCUCAGUAGCUGUGAAGUAGCCUCAGGAAUCUUCCACUUUAUAAGUGCUCUAAAGUUGAUUCGGAUCCUCCCUUUGAGGUCACAGGAUGUGUGAUUAUCCAAUCAUAAG